AGUCCCCUACGGGGCGCAGCAGUGGGGAAUAUUGCACAAUGGGGGAAACCCUGAUGCAGCGACGCCGCGUGAGUGAAGAAGUAUUUCGGUAUGUAAAGCUCUAUCAGCAGGGAAGAAAAUGACGGUACCUGACUAAGAAGCACCGGCUAACUACGUGCCAGCAGCCGCGGUAAUACGUAGGGGGCAAGCGUUAUCCGGAUUUACUGGGUGUAAAGGGAGCGUAGACGGCCAGACAAGUCAGAAGUGAAAGCCAAGGGCUCAACACUGGGACUGCUUUUGAAACUGCCGGGGUGAAGUGCAGGAGG
rnacentral:rRNA from 1 species